AAAAAAAAAAACUUUUUUUAAUUAAAGGUCUUACUCAUCGGCUUACCACAUUCAAUGACACAUGGCAGGCAAAAGGGAAAAUAUCUAAUAAUAUAUUGUAGUACAAAUAUAGUGCCUUUUUAGGAUUCUCUUGGUCUAACAUAAGUACAAAAUGUUAUUUUUCCUGUCACAUUUCAACGAUGGCAAGACGUGCAGUGCAAAAUGAAGACAUAUGCUUUACUUCUGGUGGUCUUUUUGGCCUUUCUUACUGUGGCCGUAGAAAGUGCAGCGGUUGGAAGUUUUUUUUCUUUUUCUGCGCACAUAUUUUUAAAGUGUUCUUGCAGGUCACAUUUCAACGAUAGCAAGACGUGCAGCGCAAAAUGAAGACAUAUGCUUUACUUCUGGUGGUCUUUUUGGCCUUUCUUACUGUGGCCGUAGAAAGUGCAGCGGUUGAAAGAGUGCUACCAAACAAUGAAGAAGGCGCGAUGUUGCGGAGGCCAUUGAAGCGUGUGCGUAGAAACUGUUGCCAUAGCCCCCCAUUCUUGCCAUCGUGUUGCCAUGUACUUGGUUAUGGAAUCGUUCAUCCAGUUGCUUGAACAUCCACGAGUUACUUGGAUACAGCUACGUGUACAUUUUGAAGAGGAACAACAUGGUUUUUCAAACUACGGAAAUUUACAACGCGUCAAUUUUCACUAUUACACAGGGAUAUUCCUGGGAACAAGCUUUAAAGUUAAAUUUAAUGUAUUCAGUCAUAGAGUUUUAUCUUUCGGUUGGAUUUCAUUUUACUGCAAGGCUAUAGCGAUUUCAGAAUAAGACCAACAUCUUUGAAGUAGUUAGGAAACAAGAAACUAGUUAUACAGUUUUACUUGGUAAAAUAGUAAAAUAAAAGUACUGAAAACUGA